rnacentral:rRNA from 1 species
AGUGAACGCUGGCGGUAGGCCUAACACAUGCAAGUCGAACGGCAGCACAGUAAGAGCUUGCUCUUACGGGUGGCGAGUGGCGGACGGGUGAGGAAUACAUCGGAAUCUACUUUUUCGUGGGGGAUAACGUAGGGAAACUUACGCUAAUACCUCAUACGACCUACGGCUGAAAGCAGGGGAUCUUCGGACCUUGCGCGAUUGAAUGAGCCGAUGUCGGAUUAGCUAGUUGGCGGGGUAAAGGCCCACCAAGGCGACGAUCCGUAGCUGGUCUGAGAGGAUGAUCAGCCACACUGGAACUGAGACACGGUCCAGACUCCUACGGGAGGCAGCAGUGGGGAAUAUUGGACAAUGGGCGCAAGCCUGAUCCAGCCAUACCGCGUGGGUGAAGAAGGCCUUCGGGUUGUAAAGCCCUUUUGUUGGGAAAGAAAAGCAGCAGGUUAAUACCCCGCUGUUCUGACGGUACCCAAAGAAUAAGCACCGGCUAACUUCGUG